AGGCUCAGGACGAACGCUGGCGGCGUGCCUAAUACAUGCAAGUCGAACGCUUCUUUCCUCCCGAGUGCUUGCACUCAAUUGGAAAGAGGAGUGGCGGACGGGUGAGUAACACGUGGGUAACCUACCCAUCAGAGGGGGAUAACACUUGGAAACAGGUGCUAAUACCGCAUAACAGUUUAUGCCGCAUGGCAUAAGAGUGAAAGGCGCUUUCGGGUGUCGCUGAUGGAUGGACCCGCGGUGCAUUAGCUAGUUGGUGAGGUAACGGCUCACCAAGGCCACGAUGCAUAGCCGACCUGAGAGGGUGAUCGGCCACACUGGGACUGAGACACGGCCCAGACUCUACGGGAGGCAGCAGUAGGGAAUCUUCGGCAAUGGACGAAAGUCUGACCGAGCAACGCCGCGUGAGUGAAGAAGGUUUUCGGAUCGUAAAACUCUGUUGUUAGAGAAGAACAAGGACGUUAGUAACUGAACGUCCCCUGACGGUAUCUAACCAGAAAGCCACGGCUAACUACGUGCCAGCAGCCGCGGUAAUACGUAGGUGGCAAGCGUUGUCCGGAUUUAUUGGGCGUAAAGCGAGCGCAGGCGGUUUCUUAAGUCUGAUGUGAAAGCCCCCGGCUCAACCGGGGAGGGUCAUUGGAAACUGGGAGACUUGAGUGCAGAAGAGGAGAGUGGAAUUCCAUGUGUAGCGGUGAAAUGCGUAGAUAUAUGGAGGAACACCAGUGGCGAAGGCGGCUCUCUGGUCUGUAACUGACGCUGAGGCUCGAAAGCGUGGGGAGCAAACAGGAUUAGAUACCCUGGUAGUCCACGCCGUAAACGAUGAGUGCUAAGUGUUGGAGGGUUUCCGCCCUUCAGUGCUGCAGCAAACGCAUUAAGCACUCCGCCUGGGGAGUACGACCGCAAGGUUGAAACUCAAAGGAAUUGACGGGGGCCCGACAAGCGGUGGAGCAUGUGUUUAAUUCGAAGCAACGCGAAGAACCUUACCAGGUCUUGACAUCCUUUGACCACUCUAGAGAUAGAGCUUUCCCUUCGGGGACAAAGUGACAGUGGUGCAUGGUUGUCGUCAGCUCGUGUCGUGAGAUGUUGGGUUAAGUCCGCAACGAGCGCAACCCUUAUUGUUAGUUGCCAUCAUUUAGUUGGGCACUCUAGCGAGACUGCCGGUGACAAACCGGAGGAAGGUGGGGAUGACGUCAAAUCAUCAUGCCCCUUAUGACCUGGGCUACACACGUGCUACAAUGGGAAGUACAACGAGUCGCUAGACCGCGAGGUCAUGCAAAUCUCUUAAAGCUUCUCUCAGUUCGGAUUGCAGGCUGCAACUCGCCUGCAUGAAGCCGGAAUCGCUAGUAAUCGCGGAUCAGCACGCCGCGGUGAAUACGUUCCCGGGCCUUGUACACACCGCCCGUCACACCACGAGAGUUUGUAACACCCGAAGUCGGUGAGGUAACCUUUUUGGAGCCAGCCGCCUAAGGUGGGAUAGAUGAUUUGGGUGU
rnacentral:rRNA from 1 species